CUCCAGUUGAUCGCAUGGUCUUCUGGGAAAGCUUUCGCGGUAUGGGAUGGGGUCGCGUCCUAUCAGCUUGACGGCGGGGUAACGGCCCACCGUGGCUUCGACGGGUAGCCGGCCUGAGAGGGCGACCGGCCACAUUGGGACUGAGAUACGGCCCAGACUCCUACGGGAGGCAGCAGUGGGGAAUAUUGCACAAUGGGCGCAAGCCUGAUGCAGCGACGCCGCGUGAGGGAUGGAGGCCUUCGGGUUGUAAACCUCUUUUAUCGGGGAGCAAGCGAGAGUGAGUUUACCCGUUGAAUAAGCACCGGCUAACUACGUGCCAGCAGCCGCGGUAAUACGUAGGGUGCAAGCGUUAUCCGGAAUUAUUGGGCGUAAAGGGCUCGUAGGCGGUUCGUCACGUCCGGUGUGAAAGUCCAUCGCUUAACGGUGGAUCCGCGCCGGGUACGGGCGG
rnacentral:rRNA from 1 species